rnacentral:misc_RNA from 1 species
CAACACCUCAAAUAAAAAACAAAGAAUCGAACGUUUCGUUGGUUUCGUUUAGGAAGUAGUAAUUUAGUAUAAAGAUUUCACUUUUUACCAGAAAGAUAGUAGUUGAAAAAAGUUGAGUAACAAUGAAGUUAAUCUUAUCAAAGAAUUAAAAACUUAUACAAACUUAAGUGAAAAAAUAUUGUUUUAGGCCUGCAACAAGCCACAACAGCCCAUUCUUCAUUCUUCUCCAGGCGGGGAAGAAGUAACAUUUAUCCCAAAGUGUCCAACAGGGAAUAAUAAUGCAUAUGCCAUGGCAAUUUUCUUGAAAAAAAUUUGGAUUUAAAAUGUUAGUUACUUAAAAGCCAUGUAAGGAAGUGUGAGUGAUACUUGGGCUUGACCUUGAAUCGAUGUAGUAAAUUUCAACAGUUUCAGAAUUAUUUCUUUACCUUAUUAUUUUAUCACAUCUCGUUUUUGGCAUUGGGGAGGCCCAAAAGACAGGAAUAGUGUAAAAAAUAAGUAAGAUAAGUAGCAAGAAUGGCCGGCUUGAGAGAAAAAAACGUUCAUUUGUGGAGGCAAUUACAUUGUAGGCUACUGCAACCGAAACUGUAAGAGUAGAAUUUAUAGAAUGAAAUUUGGGAUCGCUAGUCGCUACCUCCAUCAAGUUCAGGCGAGUUCAGGCAUGGUCAAGGUCAGUAAUAUUUUGUCACGGUGUUUGCUAUUGGAUGACACCGUGCAAAGAGCUUACCUUCAUAUUCAGUUCACGUUCGUCCCGUCCAAUCGUCCAUUAACCCUUAUUAACGUCUCCCCGCGUCUCCUUUGCGGCCUGAUCAAAGAAGAGAAAGCUGAUGGCGAAACAGACGAAAAAUGAGGAUGCCACUGCUGCUAGUCAGACCAAAGGUUACUUAUAGGGGACCGAAUUUUUUCUAAAGUAAAUCGAAUUUCACAGAUCAAAACUUGAAUUCAGCAACCAUGUCUUCCACCAACAUGAUUAUUUCUCUCGUCUCUGUCUCUACUGUUGUCAUCUUCGCGGGUCUCUUCGCCAGUUGGUGCGUUCGCACAAUACGCACAUUGAUAAAAUCUCCAUCCAAAUCGGAGCUGAAACUGCAAGGAUUACCAGUACAACCGACCCGCAAAGAUGGCCAACCCGAGUCGAUGAGAUUCCAACGUCGAAUCCAAUCCACAAUGGCGGCGUUCAUAGAAAACGGAAUGGACGACGAAGUGGCACCUCUUGUCGUCUCUCGUUUGGAAUGGUGCAACCAAAUCAACCGCUACCUGGACAUGUUGAAGAAUACGCCAGAGUCAAUCGAGAGUGUGGCGAAUGGCAUCGAGGUCCUGAUGAAUUACCACCAACUCCAUCGAUCGGAAGCGGAACAAGACCUCGUCGAUGCCAUUUUCAGCAGAGCUUUGAAAAACGGAAACAUUUCUCACCUUUACGCCAAACUGUUGAAGCGACUUAGGAGCGGUGACCAGAAAGGCUGGACACAGAACAUCGUCC